CGCAAGAGAAGACUGAGAUCAGCGUGGGGUGGGAGCUUCCCUCCUCGCGCGCCUCUCAGGCCGGGGCAGCGCGGUAAACGAAGGACGCCCUCCAGCCCUGGGCUCGGGACGCUGGCGCCCGCGCCGUCCAGGCCUGGGAGCUUCUCGGGGACGAGCUCUGGUGGCGACCCGCAGCUCAGGCCGGAUGCCCCGAUUCCCGUCCCUACCUCGGUGCCGGUUCCGGCCCCGCGCCCUCGCCCGCGCUCCCUCCGCGCGCCGAGGUUACCAGCGCAUUUUGUUCCCUUGUAGGAUUCCAGGCCGAGGGGCUGUCACCGCGCUCUCCUCCGACGGACGCUAAUCAAAAGACACGGGCACAGGGAGAAUGUGCCCGAAGACCUGAGGCUCCAUGCUGAAUGAGGGUCCCUCAUGCCAGUUAUUUCCCUUCACAGCAGCCAGGCCAGCACUCCCGUAGGUGUACCAAAUGGCUAUCACUCUCUUGGACACCACAGAGCAAUGGCAGCACAAGCC
ensembl:lncRNA